rnacentral:lncRNA from 1 species
UGUAACAAAAUAAAAUAAUAGAUAAUAAAUAUUUAUUGCUCUGCUCUAACAGAACAUAUUCGUAUUUUAAACUUUUAAAUUCUUUAAAAACAAUAAAAAACUUAAACAUUAAUUUUGACAGUUCAUAAAUUCUCGGCUAAGCAACAGCAUAGCAACGCCACUGUCCAAUAGAAUGCCUGGACAAUGUUGAUGGUAGAACGUCGCGUGGGCGUUCCUCUGCCAAUAAAACACAGCGCUGAAGAUGAUUGGCUGAAUCCGAGAAUCCAAAUUCUUCCCCUGCAGUCAAUGGGAUCUGAGGAAACAGUCCCGCGGGCGAGCACGCGGUGUGGGAGUUCUCCUGUCACCGUACACUGACAGAGCAGGAGGAUCAGCUGGGACUAGCCAGCACCUGAAGCCUAUCAUCAGCCAUCAGACAGCUAUGAAAAUCAAGGAGAAGACCUGCAGGAAAAGGAGAGAGAGCUAUGACUGGAACUCAGGCUGGAACAGUAGCCUGAAAGAGAUUGGUUAUCUGCUACCCAUUUCUGGAACAGGCAGCGGCAAGGGUCUUACUAGGAAAGAGACAUUGAUUCACAUGCUGCAGUACUUUGGAUUUCUUCAAAGUCAAAUUCAGAUAUUACAGAGCAGCCUCCCUGCCCACUGCCUGCCAGACGUCACUGAAAGAGGUGCAGUUCAUUUGUAUGGUGAAAAAAUAAAUAAAUCAAGAUUUUGUAACCCCCUUGUCAGGAUUGACUAUAUAGCUCUGGCAAAAAUUAAGAGACCAUUUCAGUUUCUGAAUCAGUUUCUCUGAUUUUGCUAUUUAUAGGUAUAUGUUUGAUUAAAAUGAACAUUGUGGUUUUAUUUUAUAAACUACAGACAACAUUUCUCCCAAAUUCCAAAUAAAGAUAUUGUCAUUUAGAGCA